AGACCAGAAGACUCUUCCAACUGAAAAGAUUCUAUGAUUCUAUGAAGCGAUGAUGCAGUAUUGGAUAUUUAGUCCAUUACACACAGAUCUAAGCCAUUAAGUCAGACUUGGGAAAUGAGAGUCGCCAGCCAGGGGAAAACUGGGCUGAAGGGAGUCUCGCUUUGCCUUCCCAGUGCCCCAGAGCUCUGCUUCUAAGUCCGUAAGUCAAAUCCUGACGUCAGGCAUGACAGUAAAUGAAAGAAGUUGAACUCAUAGGGCUACAUGGAGACUUCUACUACAAGCUGAGAAGACAGCUAUCUCUGUCACACUACCUGAAAACAGCAGAGAUAUUAUGGUACUGUUAUUACCUCCAGUUCUCACAGACGACUCCUGAAAGGCACAAGGCCUUGCAGAGGUGUGAAAGAGGAGACUGUGAACAAAAAGGAAAGAGGAAGCCCUCUGUAAGAACAGCUGGAGAAAGAAGAAGCAUCUAACUGCAUUGGGGAGGCUGUGCUGGCUGCCUGCAGCUCUCUCCUAGGAGUCUGCACAGGUGCUGUGCGUGCUGCGGCUGGAGGCUGAUGGCCCAGUGAUGGAUCACAUGCCGCGGCCUGCACUGGCGCUGAUCUCCAGGUGGAAGCCCCACUGACAUGGGGGCCUGCGAGGCUGCAGGAGCACAGUACAGAUGCACGCAGCAGAAGAUGGAUGAGAUGUGUCUCAUCGGAGGUGUGAGGGAUGCGGUAUUCCCACAGGCAAAUGGAUUCAUACAGACAUUCUGUGCUGGCCUGCUAAAACCUGGGUCAAAUACAGCUCUUUUAUAAAGCAGGUUUAUGAAGCGCUUCGUUAAGGAGGUUGGUGCUGUUCCUUGUAUUUCACAGACUGGGCAACAGGGGCACAGGUAAAUGAAGGAACUUGACUCAGAUCACCCAGAAUACAUGUGGCAAAGCCAGGAAUUGAUGCCAGCUGUAGCCUGCUGCCUACAGCUGUCUUUGGUACAAGUUUAUCCAUCCCAAUCCAUCAUGUGUAAGGACAGACAUUUUACAAGCAACCUUUCCUAAGAAGACUUUUUUCUAUUAUUAUUCCUCUUAAAAUAAUCCUGCAAGUGAAUUCACAGGCAUAAAACUCCAUUUAAAUAAUGCUAUAUUGACAGAACCUGACACAAAGCCUGGAAAUUCAGAGUUAUCAUUGGCAUUCCCUGCAGAACUCAAGUCCCUGUGCCUUCUAUUUUCCACACAAGCAUUAGUGUCAGUCUUAAGUGUGGAUUUCCUGAAUUUUUCAGCCUGUGUCACAACCUUCAUUUUAUUUAAACACAGAUUUUUUUCCUGUAAAUAUCCACUGAACAUGUCACCGGAAUUAUAGUGUCAUUUUGCUGCAUCCCAAGUAUGGUCUGCACAUAAACCACUCAAAUCUUGAUUCAAAGACCUCACCAAACCUGGUUCUAAAUUUUCUGAAAUUAUU
ensembl:lncRNA